AAGUCGUAACAAGGUUUCCGUAGGUGAACCUGCGGAAGGAUCAUUAAUGAAUGAAUGUAGAGUCGGUUGUAGCUGACCUCCUAGAGGUAUGUGCACGCCUUCUCUUUCAUCCACACACCCCUGUGCACUCGUGAGACAGAGGCAUUUGUUUUCCUUUAAUUAGGGAACGGGUCUCUGUCUACAUCACAUAAAAUCUAAUUUAUUUAAAACUGAAUGUAAUUGAUGUAACGCAUCUAAUACAAAGUUUCAACAACGGAUCUCUUGGCUCUC
rnacentral:misc_RNA from 1 species